UAUGAUGUCUCAUUAAUCUGGACUUACUUAUAUAAGCAAAUGCAACAUGUAUAAUUCACAUUAUAUAAUUACAGCAGAAGAGAAUAUAAAUUCUCUUAUCCUGGAAACUUCUAAAUUAUGAUAGAAUUUUCUGUACUGUAAACUGCUCUUGGCUAAAAUCUUUUCAAAUACAUAAGCUGAAAAUUGUUUCACUCGCUGACCUGUGAGCCAAGUUCCCCAAAGCCUGAUGCAAAUUAAAAUGGCUGAGUUAUAAAUAUCUCUGAAAGUAGGUUUAUAAUGGAAACACAACCAGAUCUUUCACUACAGAAGUACUCUUGGGGGCUGUUAGGACAGUUUAUAGAGCUAUCAGCGCCAAACUAUAAGUUAAUGAGGAGGAGCAAUUGACUGUAAUAAAGCACCCCUAAACAAGAAGAGAGCAUUAAAAAAUGCCAGCACUAAAAAUUCCUUUUGGGCUUCCCAUUAGCUAUGUCCCUGUAUAAAGUUGCUUCUUUCAUCAUUCUGGAAUAUAUUGCCAUGACUUCUUACAUUUUCAUGUGCUGAAUUCGGUACGUACACUUUUAUAGGCCUGGGGAAGAGGUGUGUGUGAAACUUAAAGUCAGAAGGCAGUUGUCAAAAAGCAAUUUACUAUUCUCCUCUCUUCUCAGCCUUACCUCUGUUCUCUUUAUUAUUACGUGACUGGGAAUGCACCGUAGGAUGACAGCAAGAUAAAAUUAGAUAUGGCUCCAUUUGACUUUUGCACCUUUUCACAUCAAUCUAUUCUCGCAAGUUUUAUUGUUAACAUUUGAACGUAGCAGAGAGUACAGGUGCCUAUGGCAGGCAAUCAGUGCUUGAGAGAGCUGCACAUAAAGACAAGACUUAGUUAAUGCUAGGAUAUAAGGGGAAUGUACAUGAGGGAGAGAAACAAUUGCUGUUAUUCUAGGCAUAAGAAUACAUCACUAAGUAAAUUUAAUGUAUGUUAUGACAGUCAUUAUAAAGACAGCAUUCACCGCAGAAGAGAUAACAGAAAUAUUCUUCUCAUUUCAGGGAUGACUGGUGAUGGUGUAGAGUGAUCAGAUUUUUUUCUCUUUUCCAGCCAGAAGUCAUUGUACUCGUUUUAGAAAAGGUAUUUAAAAGAUUGAGACUGAUCAUCAGUAAUUAAUGCUGCCGAAGGUAGACACGUACAGCUUUGAACUCACCUUGAUUUUUUUUACACUGGGACAUAUAUACUACAGGAAAGAUUAAAUAAAUCCUUUGUGUUGGGCUGAGAUGUAUCUAUCAAGAACAAAACAAAUGAUGAACUAAUCCCCCCAGUACAUUUGUUUAUUUUUCCUUCCUGUUGGCUACAUGCAGUUUGAACUGCAUACAUACACUUCUUAAUGAGAGUAAUAAAGAGAUAAUAUGGACAAUAUGUAUACUAUAUAAAAAGACUCACAGUAUUCCUGUGUCUGGCUUAAAUUAGUGAGUGGUUUAAGAAUAUAAAAUAAUUCAUUGUGUAUAACUUCAACUCCUCCCAAACACUGUUAUUUAAAAUGUAGUAGCAUAAUGAACCCUUUUAAGCUUAGAACUCCCUUUGUGGUCCCCUAAGGCUGUGCUUUCUACCUGUCACCCCACUUAAAGUGUUGCUACCACCUCAGUUUUCUAUCUCCACUUAACAAUCUCUGAUGGUAAACUGGAAGGUGAAGGGCAAAGCUAAUGGGAGGAUGGCUACAAUUUUUGGAGUUUUGCUCUAGAUUGCAACAAAACCCCAAAUCUUCAGAGUGCAGGAACUGACAUCUUCUUUUGACAAAAUGGAGUUGUGCUUAAAUCCAGUUUCUCCAGUCUAGUCCAAGACAGUUCACUGUGGCCUCCUUUCCUGUGCACAGUGAAUGGAAAGUGAAAAUACAGAAAUUAAGCGAUCUCCAGUUCUCAAUUUUGUUUAAUAGCAUGCCGCCUUGUUUCUAAGCUAAGAAUGUGAUGACAGCUUUUAACCUUAAAACCACAAACAGGAGAGCUUCAGAGGUGCUUGCCAAGAUAUGUAGUGCUCUAUGUCUGCAUUUAUGGGAAACCCGUUAACUUGGUCUUUCAUCAGUGUGACUGCUCUCAUUCUGCACUGCACUGGAGGACUUGCUGACACAGCCAGAGAUUGCUCUGCACCCAUAUGGCUGCAAAAGUGGAACAUUGCUUUCUCUGGGAACAGGAAGAAACUGACAGUCCAAAAAAAUGAAAGUGAAGUUGCGAUCUCAAGUAACUGGGAAUUCAAAUUCAGCAUCGCACAGUGGCAUAGCUGCUCUGUAGACAAUAAAGGAUCUCUGAGCAUGUUAUGAGCACUCUGGAGUGGAGCAUCGCCAUCCACCUCAAUGGAGAUGCUCUCUUCUUCCUCUUGCUGAUGACACCCCCUCCUGGGAGAUGUCUCGACACAGGGUUCUGCAGGAGCUCCAGGUGGGCAGGCUUUACCCUUUCAUUUUAGUACCUUGAGACAUUUAGUCUUAUGAGGAGCAGCUGAUGGAAUUGGGAUUGUUCAGCCUGGAGAAGAGAAAGCUCAGGGUAGACUUUAUUGCUCUCUACAGCAACCUGAAAGGAGGUAGAGAGAGAGGUGGGAGUCAACCUUGUCUCCCAGGCAACAGCUAUAGGACUUUAGCUACACCAGAGGAGGUUCAGGUUGGAUACCAGGAAAAACUUAUUCCCCAAAAGAAUGGUUGGGCUCUGGAACAGGCUGCCCUGGGAGGUGGUUGAGUCACCGCCCUUGGAGGUGUUCAAGAACUGUGUAGAUGUGAUACUGAGGGACAUGGUCUAGUGGUAUGGCGUUGAUGGGUUGAUGGGUGGUCUAAAUGAUCUUAGUGGUCUUUCCAAACUUAAUGAUUUUAUGAUUCUGUGAUUAUAGUCGGCAGUUGCCUAAGGUCUAAUGCUAUAUGUUAGGACUCUUGUUUUUAAAAAUUAAUUAGAUGUAUCUACUGCUCGCAGGUUUUCAUUACCUUUAUCCUGAUUCUUAUUCCAUGUUCUUAACUGUGUUUAUACUGCUCAAAUUCCACUUUGCUUCUCUGGGACUGUUUAAGAUGCCAUGCAGCCUAUAGUCCUCAAAUAUUCAUUUUAGAAAAAUGCUUCUUUUCAUAUUUUUGGUGGAUAUUCAGAGGCCAAAGACCCCAGAGGGCUGUGGUCCAUCUUGUCAGAUCAGCUAAUGAUCAAAUGCUUGGAGUUUCUCAAAGUUUCUUCAGCUGUUCUGCAGCAAUAGAGAAUUCUCCUUCUACAUAAAACCUAAGACAUCAACAGAUCUAGGAUUGCACUUCAUCUGAUGAAAACUGUUCACUGAUUUUUUAAAUGUCCCUCAAUUCCUACCUCUCUUUUUAAGAGUCCAGCUGUCUUCUGCUUGAUCCGUUUUUGCCCAAGAUGUGGAUAAUGUUAAGCUGCUCACUUUUCUACUCGCCUGGGCUAGGAGAAUGACCAGGUGCUUCUUUGCACAAGGAGACUGUGCAUGGCUGGAGUAAGGCACAUCUUCUGGGAGCUAAAUAAUCUGUGUAUCUGGUCCUUUGACUGUUGAUGAAAAACUUCUGGAAAAUGAAUAGAAAGGAGAGGAAGAUAUUUUCUCUUUCUCCCUGAACCUGCAGACUUGUGCCUUGCUUUAACUGCUGAAGACCAGUUGGAGUUACAUCCACACCCUUAUUCAGAAGGAAGAAAGGCUGACCAUGUUUACUAUUAGAGGGGACCAGACUUCUGAGCAGCUGCAGAUGAAGGAUAUCACACGCUCCACCUUGAGAUGCAGCAGUAUCCAUGCUGCCACAUUUUUCCUAGGUGAUUUUAGCAGCUCAGAUUUGUUCUGCUCCUUUUCUGCCUUGCUCAUCUGAUUCUUCUGGUUUGCCACUCAAAUGCACAUGCUCCUGUUCUUUCUACCUCACACAAACAAGUCUUACUAUUAAUUAUACUUGCCUUCCAGCCCUACUAUUCACAAUCCAGUAAACAGAGAUGCAUCUAACAAAGAAGACAGGAAAGGGUGGGAAGCUGGGAGAUCCAUCUCCAAGUUUUGCUCCCAGGUCAUAUCUCUUUCCUUGCUUAAUUAUGCUCUGUAAAGUUUAAAAGAGCUGUGCUAGUAUAUAGUGCAGUUAAUUAUAUUGCAUUUGUAAUCAGGCCAUAAAAGAGAAACCCUUGAACCACAGCUAUAUUGUUCCAGGCACCGCAGUCUGUAGACUUCUUCCUUUGAAUUUCAUUCCAUGUGAGCCAGCGGUAAUAGGUUCUUGCAGUAUCCAAAACUCCUGCAGUCUUUUUCAGCCUGCCCUGGCCAGCAGCCCAUCAGCUGUUCCACAAACAAACAUAUAUUUCUCUCUCUAUUUGUUUCUUCUUUUUUAUCCCACUGUACAAGCAAUUAGCUAUUGAAUCCAUAAUAAGCCAAUCCAGUCCAACCCACAUGAUUAUUUUGCUUCUCAUCAAUUUAUUCAGCUCACGUAUAGGGUUUUAUCAUAUUUACAAUAUCACAGCUAUUUGUGUGGGAGUUAUAAAAGGUAAGGAGUAAUUUUAGGGAAAGAAAAUCCAGUUGUAGGCUUUGGCUGUUUUUGUUGAGCUCCAGAAUGCGGGGGUUCAUUCCUCUGCUUGGGAGGGGAAAUUCUGGAUUCAGUCAGCAGAGUUCAGAUCCACUGAGGGAGGAACAGAAAUGCGUAAUUAGACAAACAGAAAAUCACUUGGAAAAAAAAAAGGAGUCAGCUUUUGCAAACUCUUUUUUUUUUUUUGCAGGGUUAUUUUCUUAAGUAUUAACACACUUCUCUGAACCUUGGAGAUGGACUUCACCCUCAUCUGUUAUUGCUUUAAAGUGAAUUUAUUAUCACCAGGGAGGGAGAAAUGAAUGGCAUGGUGACUCUGGUUGGAGAGGCUGGAUAUUUGUGCGAGGUGACUUGUAAAUGUUGCUGCUGCUGUAGCCCCACAUCCCCACAAGCUCUCCAUCUCAGCCCUUGGCCCUGUGUUAAAUGCAGUUUGUUGCGUGCUUUCCAGCAUGUUUGCUGCAGCCUGAGGCUCUGCAUUUUGACCACACUCUGAUGAGCCCUUUUGACCUUCCCAGCAUCCUUGCAGACAAUGGCUGUUCUGCACAAAAGAGAGCUGAGAGAUGUAGAUCUGGAGAUAAAAGUUACGUUUCAAUAUUCACCACAAAUACUGACACAAGAAAUGAGGAGAAAUUGGAAAAAUACAAUUCUAGCAUGGAAAGAGGAAUAAAGACAUUGAGACAUAUCUUCAUGUUGACAGGUAAGGACCACCUGAAAAAUCCACAUGUAGGUGCAAAAAUCUGGAACCCUAAAUACGGUGUAAUACAACACUUGACCUGAGACAUUUCAAAUGGUUGAAUGAGCUGAAAAGUCAAAUGCAUUCAUUUAGUGGUAUACAGUGUAAUUCUCUGCUAAGCUAUUUUGAAAUGUGCGCUAUGCAGGUGCUGUAAGAUAUAUUAAUAUCGCAGGAGUGAUACGUGGCAAUAACUUUUGCAUUUUCCUCAAAGCCCCCACAUCUUUGCCACAGA
ensembl:lncRNA